GCCUCCUUAGCUCAGCUGGUAGAGCAACUGACUUGUAAUCAGUAGGUCGUUGGUUCGAUCCCGACAGGAGGCUCAA
rnacentral:tRNA from 3 species